rnacentral:tRNA from 1 species
GAAAAAGAAUGCAAGAACUGCUAAUUCAUGCCUCCGUACAUGAAAGUACGGCUUUUUCU